AUGGCGACUCUAGCAGCUCUAGCACUACUGUUGUGCAUCUCCAUGACCUCCAUGGAUGGGUGCACCGCCGCUCAGUACAUGGUGGGCGGGCUCGAUGCGUGGGGGGUGCCGCCGUCCAGCAAGCCAGACGUGUACGUGCGGUGGGCCAAGUAUGUCCCCGUAAAGCUCAGCGACGCCCUCUUCUUCCUCUACCCGCCCAGCAAGGAUAGCGCCGUGCAGCUCACCGCCAAGGCCUUCACCGCCUACGACGUGUCUGACCCGCUGCUCAAGCUGGAGGACGGCAACUCCGUCUUCAACCUCACCAAGACCGGGCGGGCCUACUUCAGCAGCGUCGGGACUUGUCAAGUCAGGCAGUUACCGAGGUAG
rnacentral:rRNA from 1 species